rnacentral:rRNA from 1 species
AUACGGAGGGUGCAAGCGUUACUCGGAAUCACUGGGCGUAAAGCGCGCGCAGGCGGUCUUUUAAGUUGGAUGUGAAAGCCUACGGCUCAACCGUAGAACUGCAUCCAAAACUAUUAGACUAGAGUGUGGGAGAGGAAGAUGGAAUUUGUUGUGUAGGGGUAAAAUCCGUAGAGAUAACUAGGAAUACCAAAAGCGAAGGCAAUCUUCUGGAACACUACUGACGCUGAGGCGCGAAAGCGUGGGGAGCAAACAGGAUUAGAAACCCCUGUAGUCC